ACGGGUGAGUAACACGUAUCCAACCUGCCGAUGACUCGGGGAUAGCCUUUCGAAAGAAAGAUUAAUACCCGAUGGCAUAGUUCUUCCGCAUGGUCGAACUAUUAAAGAAUUUCGGUCAUCGAUGGGGAUGCGUUCCAUUAGGUUGUUGGCGGGGUAACGGCCCACCAAGCCUUCGAUGGAUAGGGGUUCUGAGAGGAAGGUCCCCCACAUUGGAACUGAGACACGGUCCAAACUCCUACGGGAGGCAGCAGUGAGGAAUAUUGGUCAAUGGACGAGAGUCUGAACCAGCCAAGUAGCGUGAAGGAUGACUGCCCUAUGGGUUGUAAACUUCUUUUAUACGGGAAUAAAGUGAGGCACGUGUGCCUUUUUGUAUGUACCGUAUGAAUAAGGAUCGGCUAACUCCGUGCCAGCAGCCGCGGUAAUACGGAGGAUCCGAGCGUUAUCCGGAUUUAUUGGGUUUAAAGGGAGCGUAGGCGGACGCUUAAGUCAGUUGUGAAAGUUUGCGGCUCAACCGUAAAAUUGCAGUUGAUACUGGGUGUCUUGAGUACAGUAGAGGCAGGCGGAAUUCGUGGUGUAGCGGUGAAAUGCUUAGAUAUCACGAAGAACUCCGAUUGCGAAGGCAGCUUGCUGGACUGUAACUGACGCUGAUGCUCGAAAGUGUGGGUAUCAAACAGGAUUAGAUACCCUGGUAGUCCACACAGUAAACGAUGAAUACUCGCUGUUUGCGAUAUACAGUAAGCGGCCAAGCGAAAGCGUUAAGUAUUCCACCUGGGGAGUACGCCCGGCAACGGUGAAACUCAAAUGAAUUGACGG
rnacentral:rRNA from 1 species